UACGAAGGGGGCUAGCGUUGCUCGGAAUCACUGGGCGUAAAGGGUGCGUAGGCGGGUCUUUAAGUCAGGGGUGAAAUCCUGGAGCUCAACUCCAGAACUGCCUUUGAUACUGAAGAUCUUGAGUUCGGGAGAGGUGAGUGGAACUGCGAGUGUAGAGGUGAAAUUCGUAGAUAUUCGCAAGAACACCAGUGGCGAAGGCGGCUCACUGGCCCGAUACUGA
rnacentral:rRNA from 1 species